UUUCCGUAGGUGAACCUGCGGAAGGAUCAUUAAUGAGUUGUCAUGGGGUUCGAUGCUGGCAGCCAAUUUUUGGAUGCAUGUGCUUGCCCUAACAAUCAUCUUCCAAACACCUGUGCACAUUUUUGAGGGAGUCUUGAGUUGGUUGCCGCUCUUGGGUGAUUUUCUCACAUUCCCUUAAAUCAUUAUACGCUUUUAACAAUGUUGAACGUGCUCUGUGCCGCAAGGCUAUUAAUAUAAUACAACUUUUAACAACGGAUCUCUUGGCUCUC
rnacentral:misc_RNA from 1 species